rnacentral:rRNA from 1 species
GCAUAUCAAUAAGCGGAGGAAAAGAAACUAACAAGGAUUCCCCUAGUAGCGGCGAGCGAAGCGGGAAGAGCUCAAAUUUAUAAUCUGGCACUUUCGGUGUCCGAGUUGUAAUCUCUAGAAAUGUUUUCCGCGUUGGACCGCACACAAGUCUGUUGGAAUACAGCGGCAUAGUGGUGAGACCCCCGUAUAUGGUGCGGACGCCCAGCGCUUUGUGAUACAUUUUCGAAGAGUCGAGUUGUUUGGGAAUGCAGCUCAAAUUGGGUGGUAAAUUCCAUCUAAAGCUAAAUAUUGGCGAGAGACCGAUAGCGAACAAGUACCGUGAGGGAAAGAUGAAAAGCACUUUGGAAAGAGAGUUAACAGUACGUGAAAUUGUUGGAAGGGAAACGCUUGAAGUCAGACUUGCUUGCCGAGCAAUCGGUUUGCAGGCCAGCAUCAGUUUUCCGGGAUGGAUAAUGGUAGAGAGAAGGUAGCAGUUUCGGCUGUGUUAUAGCUCUCUGCUGGAUACAUCUUGGGGGACUGAGGAACGCAGUGUGCCUUUGGCGGGGGUUUCGACCUCUUCACACUUAGGAUGCUGGUGGAAUGGCUUUAAACGACCCGUCUUGAAACACGGACCAAGGAGUCUAACAUGCUUGCGAGUAUUUGGGUGUCAAACCCGGAUGCGUAAUGAAAGUGAAUGGAGGUGGGAACCGCAAGGUGCACCAUCGACCGAUCUGGAUUUUUAAUGAUGGAUUUGAGUAAGAGCACGUAUGUUGGGACCCGAAAGAUGGUGAACUAUGCCUGAAUAGGGCGAAGCCAGAGGAAACUCUGGUGGAGGCUCGUAGCGGUUCUGACGUGCAAAUCGAUCGUCAAAUUUGGGUAUAGGGGCGAAAGACUAAUC